rnacentral:ncRNA from 2 species
UUAAUAGGAACCGGAGUGAGUGGUCCUGUCCCAUGACAGGACAAAAGGGAAGCCAGUGAGAGUCUGGCGCGGUCCCGCCACUGUAAGGGAGAGCCGCUUUGCAUGAUGCCACUGGGCCUUUAGGGCCUGGGAAGGCGUAAAGUGGGCCAUGACCCCGAGCCAGGAAACCUGCUCGUUCUGAUUUUGAUCU